rnacentral:rRNA from 1 species
UACGUAGGGUCCGAGCGUUAAUCGGAAUUACUGGGCGUAAAGCGUGCGCAGGCGGUCUUGUAAGCCAGAUGUGAAAGCCCCGGGCUCAACCUGGGAACUGCAUUUGGGACUGCAAGGCUGGAGUACGGCAGAGGGAGGUGGAAUUCCACGUGUAGCAGUGAAAUGCGUAGAGAUGUGGAGGAACACCGAUGGCGAAGGCAGGUCUCUGGGCUGACACUGACGCUCAUGCACGAAAGGCGUGGGGAGCAAACAGG